GCAUGACCCUCCCCCGUUUUCCUCCGUGAAAUGCAGUAAUUGCAUACAUUUCUGCCUGUCUCUAAAGCAUAAAUGGAUUUAUACUAUAGUAUUGGUGCAGUAAUGCAAGAUAUUGGAUUACAUAUGUCAGAAAACGAACUAGUAGCCAGUUGUUGUUGCCCAUGGUGAAAUAAUAUCAAACCCACAGACUCCUGAAGCACAUAUGUCCCACACGAACUCCCGAGUCUAGUUAGCAUUUCGCUACCUAGCUAGGCUGUUUUAUGACAAAACGGAUGAUCUGAAUCAAACACUAACGACUCAGAGUGCCCUUCUUACGGAAGGAAAUGUCGACUCCCGGAACACUUAAAACAAAGUAACUGUACUACUGUAGCCAACACUCUUAUUUUCUAAGACAAGUGAAGAAACGCGUAGUUUCCACAAUGGAUCCGUUUUCUCAGAGCCUGAUGAGGAGAGGUAUGUAUGUAUGUAUGUAUGUAUGUGUGUGUGUGUGUUAUGUAUGUAUGCAUGCAUGCAUGCAUGCAUGCAUGCUCCGGUCUUUUGAAUGCACAUGUUCACAAAUGCACAAGAGACAAGCACAAGUUAUAUCGUCACUGAUUUACUGUUGCAUUGCUGUUUAUAUGAAUAUAUAUUCAUGUGAAUGGGAAUCAUGUUCCGAGUGCAACUUUGCAAGGCUAGCCCAGCUACCGUUAGCCUUGUUGCGGGAGAGGGUCUCUUUCAGGUGCAGACAUCUUGAGUUUUCUGGUGAUUUUCUCACGGGCAUUCUGCACUGUCUUUUGUCUUUUAUCAGGCAAAUAUACUUGUAA
rnacentral:lncRNA from 1 species